GAAACACAAACCUGGAGGAAGUCGUGAUUUCCAGCGGGAAUUUAUCCAAAUGAGCAGGAAAAAUGAGCUCCGACAACAUCCGGGUCCACAGUCGCUCCCUGCUGUUAAUCCGAUGAGACUGCAGUCUCUCUCAGGUGGAGGCGCCGUCCUCUUCUGGCCUGAGGUCGCUGCUAAGAAGCCGAGAGGCGCUGGUUUCUCCUGGUGCUGCUUUCAGGAUGCACAUGAAAUUCAGGACCGAGGUGAUACGCCUGAAAGUUGUCUCUGAGGGGAAAAAAAAAAAAAAAAAGAAAAAAUCUUGAUAAAAAGAAGAUUAUAGUUAGAGCACAGUGCAAUCCGGACAAAAACACUGAUGGUAUCGUAACGUAUUGAUCAGGUCUUGGUUCUUUAGAGGGAAGAAUAUAAACAAUCAUCGUUGUACCUGAAAGUUUCUCCAGAGUAAAAGUUUUUCCACAGUCGAGCUUUGCCGCAUUCCUUCUUUUGAAUAACAUGUAGCAACCUGUUAGUUACUGUUUAAAUCUAGCUAAAGAGCUAUGGACUGAAUUUCUAAAUUUUCCAAAAUAACCUAAUUUAUAUCAGAAACAUUUCUGACACAUAUUCACAGGCAUUCAGACAACAUACUAAUGCUAACAUAAACAAACAUGACAGAGUGCAAAGUUUGCACUGCUUCAGUUUUAGUUUGCACAUUCAUAUAAUAUUACUGUGCUCCAGUUAAAUCAUCCAGUGGUUUACAUGCAUCAUUUCUACCUCACACACACACACACACACACACACACACACACACACACACUCCUCAUUCACACCUGGACUCCUCUCUCCUCAAGAAAGGAGUCCAGGAGCAAAGCAGUUAAAUGUGUGAGAAAAGGUCAGAUUUGGUGUGUCCAUGAACUUUACACCAAAAAAAUAUAGAAGCGAGUGUUUGAAGCGCUGAACCUUGACGGUUUUUUUUUUUUUCCCCACAAAGCUUUCCCUGUUUCUGAUCACCAUCUGUACGCAGCCGCUUUUUCAGGCAUUUGCUCCUCAAACCCGGCAGACCGCUCUGAAAGAGCCCGCUUACAAUAAUUCAGCGCGCUAAUGUCAAGGCUGCAUCGGGGGGCAGGAUAAAGAGUCGCUGUGGCCGCAUGAAUCAUCGGUGACUCGGUUCGGUCCCAUCAGCCGCCGCAAGACUCCCACCGGAACUUUUACCGAAAGACGUCGGAGUCCCGGUGACCGGAGACGGAGCGGCGAGCCGUAAUUCACAGACGGGUUUGGUCUUAUCGUCGCUGCCUCCGAGAACACGAGAAGGGCGUGAGGUCAGAGGUCGGCGCCUUGAUGGCGGCGUUGCAGUUUAUCUCUUAUUAACGAGUCACCCGGGAGGAAGGGCGUCCUGCCUCACCACCGAGGCCCUCGGGUCGCAGCUGUGAGUUGGCCCUCUCUAAUGGAGUCGUCCUACCGGGACCGCCGAUAGCCGGGAGAAGCCGGGUUGAAUUUCUUUCCCUUUCUGAGAGACGAUAAAACACGACCGAGGUGCAGAACAGCAGCCAUUUGCAUUAAUAUUGAGUCUAAGUGUGACUGGUGCAACUCUAUAAAAUGGUUUGUAUCCCGAUUUAUAGAGAUGUAUUUACUUCAUAAUGAUUCAUUACAUACAAACAUGUUUAAGUUAUUUCUGUUUGCUUUGGUAACUGAAAUAAACAAGAUGUUGCUUGUCAGAAAAUUAGAAUUUUAUAUAAGACGAGUGAAAAGAAGCAUUUUUGGCAGUGAUUGUAUUAAUAAAGACAUGAAAGACAAAAUUCAGCUGAAUUAUUUGCAUAUUUUCUCUGAUUUAUGUGUGGAAACUUGAUCCGGUUUGCGCAGAAGGAGAAAUUUAAAGACCCAGAAGAUCCUGCAGCUUAUAAUUCCUUAUAUAAUGUUUGUACUGGUCCAAAAUCUGUUGACCAACUAUUUUUAUUCAUUAUCAGAUGAGCUAAAACUUCCAGCAGCAAAAGGAUGUAAAUAUUCUGCAGAAAAGACCAUGAAAUAAAUAAAAAAAAAAACUCUUUUUUUUUCCCCUCUAUUUUUAUUUCUUUAUGAUUUUGUCGCAUCCGAGUUCAAUCCAGACAGAAAUCUGCCCUGAGCCUGGCUUUGGAAGCAGCCCUCUCCUACCAGUUCACAAACAGCUUAAGGCAUUACGGUUUGCAUUGUUCAUGACAUCUUUGUGAUCUCUUUUAUUAGAACUGAACUCAACUUUAAGCAGGUUUAAGCAGGCGCACACAUCAAAGGCUCAGGGCAUUGAGUAAUCGCAUUCAGCGCCACGCACACGCUGAAUGUGUUUCCUGUUGUUUUUAAAAACACGGUGACGCAAGACGUUCUGUGGCUAUGUACGGGUGUAGAUUAAAGGAAAGCUGCUUUUUUUCCCCCCCUGGAUUUCCUAGCUGACGCAUCUGCAGGUAACUUUUUUUUGUGAAGUCUUUUGAUUUUGGCUUAGACACAGCUCAUCCAAUUCAGGAAAGAGCUCCACCAGGUAUGCUCAGAUCGACAUCACCGCGACGGAGAUGGCCCACAGAGUCGGCGCGCAGCACGCCCUGGGCAGGCAGGAGGGUCUGCACAGCCUGGAGCUGAGGAGGAAGGGAACGCCGCACUGACCCCCCAGCGCUUUGGAUUCGCCGCGUCGGACUGCAUCCGCCGGAGAUGUGAAGAACUUGAUGGGAGCGUUUUUGUUUUCUGUUCUCUUUACAGUUUCUAAGCACAGACCGGGUUCACGCAUGCUGGAAUCCACGAACAUGUCGUGCUCACGUUGUUAGGGCGGCAGGCCUUUGCUUCUGUAAUCAAGGAGCCGCGAUAAACGCGGCUGUGCGGUUUUGCAUGAAGCCAGGCGCGACGUUUCCACCUCGUCCUCUCAGAGAGUCGGUUGCAUCACUAAAUGGCGCUGCGCCAACUAAAAGGAGAAGAGCACUGACCCAGAGAUGAGUCACGGCCCAAAUGCCUCCCCCUCGCUCAGCUGCAUCCCAGCGCCAUCUUGGACCGUCCCACAUUUUUUUUUUUUUUUUAUCAUCAUCGUUUGGGAAAAACAACAGAGAUGAAGCAAGAGGUGAUUAUUCCAUGAGGUAGUUAUUAAUUGCGCUGUGCUAAGCUGCUCGGAUUUGGCCUAAAGCCGUCCAUCCAGUCUUACUCAGAGCGCUGAGCAGGAGAAAGUAAAUGACGAGUUGCGGUGAGGAUCUGUAAUUGUUCCACGUUUCUCCGCUGCGCCUGCUGACCUGCGUUGGCCUGCUGUGACUAACAGAUGCUGUUUAUUGUUUGAACAGAACCCGAGUGCUGCUUUCGUUGUUUCCUCCGUAGGGAUUUACUGUGGGAAACUAUUUAUGACUUCUGCAUAGACGAGAGAAAGCAAUGUUUGGAGAUUUUCUUUAGAGAUGUUUAAAUAACAGCAAUGUUUGUUUUGUGUCCUUUUAAUUUUUCCUCGUUUCUUGUGCGGUACAUCGGUAGACCUCGGCAGAGUGUCGUUUCCGUCUCGUAUUCUGCUGCGUUUCACCCGCGGUUGACUUCAAGAAGACGUUUAUUUAAUUUUAUACACAAGUUAAGAAUGUAUAAUUAGUGCUUUCUAGGUAAAAAUUUUCUUUUUUUAGUAAGUUAUUUAUUACUACAACUUUUGUGUGUUUUUUCAGUGUUUACAGUUGCGGUGAAAAAUUUCCAUGCACCCAUUAGGGGCCUUCAUUCAUGUUUUAUAUUUUUAAUGGUUGAUUUGAUGAUAAUGCACCAGUACCACUAAUGGCACAGCAUGCCUCCGCCCCCACCAUGCUUUAUAGCUGGUGCAGCAUUGUUGGGUGUGAAAAUCUCACCCCGACUCAUCCAAGCUCACCUGUUAACACCGAGACCAAAUCCUUUGAGUGUCGCAUUUCUCUCCAGAAGUAACUGAUCUCGUUCAUGUAGGCGGCUGCACGUUUUAGUCUUUCCUGAAGGUGUAAAUUUUGGAGCAUCAGCUUCUUUUUCUGGUUGGUACUUUCUGGGCAGAGACACAUUUGAUCCUGUAUUUUCUACUUCUUUGCAGCCUUGUGGCACGUUCCUGAAUUCACUAAUCUCCUUCCAUCCGAGCGUGUUGUUUUUGUCUUCGUCCAAGCUUUCCUGGAAGUCAGUAAAAUAAUCUUUAACUGGAUAAAAAAUAAAUAUUUGGUCUGUGCACAAGGUUCAUAAUGUUCAUGCUCUAUACCAGACCAGAACUAUACAGUCAAACUCCAGUCAGAUUCAGUGUCUAUUCUUUGAGAAGACAUUAAUAGAGUAGCUCUAUUGAGAAACCACAAAGCCACAUUAAUAAGUCUACAUACUUUAAAGAGUGCUAAGUACUGAUUUUCCCGGCUGUUUUUCUGGAAAUGCUCCCCCCAAAAAAGCACCAAUCACCGCACAUUGUCAACAUGUAAUAAAAAUAGAUUUACGGUAAUCCUGAACUCUUUCAUCAAAAACACUUCGUAUAAGUCAAAAUGUAAAGAUGAACUCGCAUGUCUGACAGGGACAUUGUAGUUUUCAUUGUAAUUUCUCUGCAGAAAAUGUUUUCAUCUGAAACGUCCGAGUAUGAAACAUGCAAGAUGUGCUGGAAUACGAAAUAUGCUUUUUCAAAAGGACAGACAAAAGCCAGAGUUUCAGAUUUAUUGCUUUCCGACGAUCAAUGUUGUAAGAGGUUAGUGUCUUCUGUCUCUGGUUUUACCUUCCUCGACUAACAUGUAUUUUUAUUGGUGGUUGAUUAUUGCAGUUUGAUAAUCAUGUAAUGCAGUAAGAACGAAAACCGAAUCACACUCAUUUCCAAAAAAAUGUCAAUUGUAAAUAAAAUGGGAUGAAUAGUA